rnacentral:rRNA from 1 species
AUUGAACGCUGGCGGCAGGCCUAACACAUGCAAGUCGAACGAGUGGCGGACGGGUGAGUUAUGUCUGGGAAACUGCCCGAUGGAGGGGGAUAACUACUGGAAACGGUAGCUCAUACCGCAUACCAUCGGAUGUGCCCAGAGGGGAUUAGCUAGUAGGUGGGGUAACGGCUCACGUAGGCGACGAUCCCUAGCUGGUCUGAGAGGAUGACCAGCCACACUGGAACGGAGACACGGUCCGGACUCCUACGGGAGGUAGCAUUGGGGAAUAUGGCACAAUGUGCGCAAGCCUGAGGCAGCCAUGCCGCGUGUAUGAAGAAGGCCGUCGGGUUGUAAUGUACUUUCAGCGCGGAGGCGUGACUCGCAGAAGAAGCACCGGCGAACGCCGUGCCAGCAGCCGCGGUAAUUC